UACGGGGGGAGCAAGCGUUGUCCGGAAUUAUUGGGCGUAAAGAGCUCGUAGGCGGUCUGUUGCGUCGGCUGUGAAAACCCGGGGCUCAACCCCGGGCCUGCAGCCGAUACGGGCAGACUAGAGUUCGGCAGGGGAGACUGGAAUUCCUGGUGUAGCGGUGAAAUGCGCAGAUACCAGGAGGAACACCGGUGGCGAAGGCGGGUCUCUGGGCCGAUACUGACGCUGAGGAGCGAAAGCGUGGGGAGCGAACAGG
rnacentral:rRNA from 1 species